UACCAGCACCCCGAGUGGUCGGGACGAUUAUUGGGUCUAAAGCAUCCGUAGCCGGCCUUACAAGUCCUCCGUUAAAUCCAGCUGCUUAACAGAUGGGCUGCGGAGGAUACUAUAAGACUAGGAGGCAGGAGAGGCAAGCGGUACUCAGUGGGUAGGGGUAAAAUCCGUUGAUCCAUUGAAGACCACCAGUGGCGAAGGCGGCUUGCCAGAAUGCGCUCGACGGUGAGGGAUGAAAGCUGGGGGAGCAAACCGG
rnacentral:rRNA from 1 species